GCAUAUACCAAGGGGUGUCCGUACCGCGGACUGAGAUUCACAUCAUCACUGUGAGAACCCUUACACCUGAUCCGGAUAAUGCCGGCGUAGGGAUGGUUGACCACAUAGUC
rfam:Alteromonas naphthalenivorans strain SN2, complete genome.